GAACGGGUGAGUAAUGCUUCGGAAUCUACCCAGUAGUGGGGAAUAACUAACCGAAAGGUUAGCUAAUACCGCAUACGUCCUACGGGAGAAAGCGGGGGUCGCAAGACCUCGCGCUAUUGGAUGAGCCGAAGUCGGAUUAGCUAGUUGGUGAGGUAACGGCUCACCAAGGCGACGAUCCGUAGCUGGUCUGAGAGGACGACCAGCCACACUGGAACUGAGACACGGUCCAGACUCCUACGGGAGGCAGCAGUGGGGAAUAUUGGACAAUGGGGGAAACCCUGAUCCAGCGACGCCGCGUGUGUGAAGAAGGCCUGCGGGUUGUAAAGCACUUUUAGUGGGGAUGAAAAGUUCAGGGCUAAUAUCCUUGGAUCUUGACCUAACCUACAGAAAAAGCACCGGCUAACUCUGUGCCAGCAGCCGCGGUAAUACAGAGGGUGCAAGCGUUAAUCGGAAUUACUGGGCGUAAAGCGUGCGUAGGCGGUUUCGUAAGUCGGGUGUGAAAGCCCCGGGCUCAACCUGGGAAUUGCAUUCGAGACUGCGAGGCUAGGGUGCGGAAGAGGGAAGCGGAAUUUCCGGUGUAGCGGUGAAAUGCGUAGAUAUCGGAAGGAACAUCAGUGG
rnacentral:rRNA from 1 species